rnacentral:lncRNA from 1 species
AUGCAAGCCUUCCCUGUUCGUUAUUUCUCCCCUGCAGACUCUGGCCACGCUGCUGCUAAUUCGUAUUUGUUGAUAUUCCUCAGCAGCCGAACACACAGAGUGUGCUCCAGACGGUACCCAGAUGUGAUUGGAGCCGGUACCCUCUUCCCGCUAACAGAGAAUUGCAAAUUAUCACAACAGCGGCAGAGGAAUAACCUUUACGCUUCAUUAAAAUUCCACAGACUCUGCUCUGUUUCCCCUUCCGCGAACCCAACGGGCACCGCGGGUGGAACGGGAUCCCCCUCCCAUCCACCCGUCGGCUUCGGGCCGGGAUGCGAUGCGACAUCUCUGUGGGUCCGCCGCUCCCGCCCGGGCCGUGUGCCGCUGCGGGGGCCGCGGUCCCACCAGGCGCCCCGUGGAUCCGAAGGACGGGGUCCGGCUCGGAGCCCGCCGCCUACGGUCGGGGAAUUGACGGAAUCUGCGUCCGUCGCGCUCUACCGCAGCGUGCAGCCCCGCCGCGAGCCAACUCUGAGCCGCGCCGCGCUCCCGCCGGGCAUUUUCCGUGGCCGAGGCAGCGCCCGGCUCCGCGAGCGGCGAAUCGAGGCGGCAACUCCCGCCGGGCCCAGGAGGGGGCGCCGCGGCGCGGGCGGAGCGCGGGGCGGGGCUGCCGGAGGGCUCCGGAGAACAAAGGUUCCGCGCUCCCCUCCGCAGCGCCGCGCCCCGGCGGGAGGAGCCACCGCCGCCACCGCCGCCAACGCGGGGAGCGCGGGGCGAGGGCGACCCCUGCCGGGCGCCGCCGGACAGACGCAGACGGGCGGGGGGAUCAGGCCGCGCCCCGUCGGCUCCUUUCGGCUGCCCUUAACUCCUCCGGCCUCCCGGUCCUGUUUGGCAUUCGCCUCUCACCCAGACCUCUCCUGGCCUCGGGCUUCCCACGCGUUCAUCCUCCUUCCUUUUCCUGACUUCCAGCCUCUUGCCACCUGCUCACCCGUUUAUGGUGUCUGCAGUUCUGUCGCCUUCCACCCAUUUUGGCCUCCACUUUUUAGUUUGGCCCCACCCUUUUUCACCAGCUUGAAAGUAGAGACCGAAAAAGGGUGGGAAGGUGUAAAACAGGUGGAAAGGCAAGCAAUGAAGUGGAGCCAAAAAAAUGGGAAGGAGGCUGAGAAGAAGUGGGAGUCCUUCCCUCCCUUUUCCCCUUCCUCUCUCCCUUCCCUUUCUCCUAAACCUUCUUCUUCCCAUUUCCCUUUUCUCCACCCCCUUCCAGGCCCAAAGGCGUUGCUGCUGUAUUUGUGUUUGUUUCCAGGGGAAGAGUGA